CACAAAGCCGGCAGUUGUGGACGGAGUCCGACGGACUGUUUGCGUCUGUGAAUCUUAUUUUUCUUCAUCUUGCUGGCAUCUUCCUCCCCUGUACCUCAGCCACAGUGGCCGGGACGUAACAGAGACCUGUGAUACGAAUGGAGGGAGGAGUUUCGAUCAUUAAGCGGCAAAUAAGGAAGGAAGGAGCAGGAAUAGACCGGCGACAACUGGAAAGGGGAGAAUGAUGAAAAGUGGCAAACGACGAGGGCGAGGAGAAAAUUUUAUUAUGAAGGGCUGCGGAUAUGUCGACUGUGGCGAGCGACCAUACUGCAGGGAGACUAGUCUUGUGAGGCAAGGAUGGAAAGAGCUGGAAGGGAAAUUUAUUUUUGAGGGACUGAGUAUGUCGACUGUGGUAUGUAAACAUACUGAGGGGGGACAUGCUGUGGGUUAUGUGGGCUUGAGGAGAGAGAGAGAGAGAGAGAGAGAGAGAGAGAGAGAGAGAGAGAGAGAGAGACUGACUGACUGACUGACUCUUGAUUGGAGAGAAAAAUAAAGGAGCGUCAAAUCUCAUGUUCAAAACAUGUGUGACCUCGCGACCUUUCCUGCGCAUGCUCAUAACAAUAAUAAGUUUGAUUUGUGAAGUGCCAUAUCAAUAAUUCCCGCAUCCCUAGGGAAUAAGAAAAGAAGAAUAUAUUCUUUGUAUCAACGUCGUCGAACUUUAGAAACGAGACAUUGUGCGGUGGUCUGCUGGGCUCAAGGUCCUUUAUUCUUAAACAUCUCAGUGUCUUGUCAUAUUUCCACUUUCUGCAAGCUUUAUGUAAAAUAUUUUAGUUUUCAAAUGGACAUUUCUUGUAUUUGUAUUAUUAAGUGGUAGUUUGACAAAAAACAGAACAGAACAGAACGUUUAUAUAUAUAUAUAUAAACUAAAGUUAAAAAUAACGCCGACAUGCAGGUGAAGCCUUGCCAGUCCCCACUUCUCUCUUAUUAGUCGUUCUCGAUCUUCAUAAAAUGUUACUUGCCAAAUUUAAAUUAUGAUUGAAAAGAUCUUAUUGACACUAAAAGGAACUGGUGGAUUAGUUCGAGUGUUAAUAGUUAGUGCCUGUGGAUUAUUCCCUUCACUAGAAACGUCUAUUGUUGCUCAAAAGGAGUUUACAGUCAGAUUCCAGAAGGUACCAUUCAUUGGAAAUUGAGUUGUUCCAAAGAAGUAACCAGUGGGCCAUAACGUCAUCAGCAGUUAGAGUUGCAGAAACCUUGUUUGUCAGAGCGGCGAGUAGCACUCGCUCGUUUCUCACUACAAAACAAAUGCAAUGAACGUUAUUGGUUGGUCAUGAUGCCUUUCGUCCUUUACAAGUCUCAAUCUGCUGAGCUCAAAUGAUAAUUUUUUUUUUUUCUUUUUUUUUUUUGCGAGUGUUAGUGCAGCGAAUGAGCAACGAACACGAGGCUUCAAAUCUCAUUUUGAAAGUUCGCAGCCGAUGUACUAUUCUUAUUAGCACGGGAAAUAGAGUUACUGAUCAUAAUGACAUUUCAAAAUCAGGGCGUAAUUAUUCUCUCUCUCUCUCUCUCUCUCUCUCUCU